AUACAGAGGGUGCAAGCGUUGAUCGGAUUUACUGGGCGUAAAGCGCACGUAGGUGGCUAAUUAAGUCAAAUGUGAAAUCCCCGAGCUUAACUUGGGAAUUGCAUUCGAUACUGGUUAGCUAGAGUAUGGGAGAGGAUGGUAGAAUUCCAGGUGUAGCGGUGAAAUGCGUAGAGAUCUGGAGGAAUACCGAUGGCGAAGGCAGCCAUCUGGCCUAAUACUGACACUGAGGUGCGAAAGCAUGGGGAGCAAACAGGAUUAGAUACCCUGGUAGUCCAUGCCGUAAACGAUGUCUACUAGCCGUUGGGGCCCUUGAGGCUUUAGUGGCGCAGCUAACGCGAUAAGUAGACCGCCUGGGGAGUACGGUCGCAAGACUAAAACUCAAAUGAAUUGACGGGG
rnacentral:rRNA from 1 species